rnacentral:rRNA from 1 species
UUAUGGCUCAGAUUGAACGCUGGCGGCAGGCCUAACACAUGCAAGUCGAACGGUAACAGGAAGAAGCUUGCUUCUUGCUGACGAGUGGCGGACGGGUGAGUAAUGUCUGGGAAACUGCCUGAUGGAGGGGAUAACUACUCGGAAACGGUAGCUAAUACCGCGUAACGUCGCAAGACCAAAGAGGGGGACCUUCGGGCCUCUUGCCAUCGGAUGUGCCCAGAUGGGAUUAGCUUGUUGGUGGGGUAACGGCUCACCAAGGCGACGAUCCCUAGCUGGUCUGAGAGGAUGACCAGCCACACUGGAACUGAGACACGGUCCAGACUCCUACGGGAGGCAGCAGUGGGGAAUAUUGCACAAUGGGCGCAAGCCUGAUGCAGCCAUGCCCGCGUGUAUGAAGAAGGCCUUCGGGUUGUAAAGUACUUUCAGCGGGGAGGAAGGGAGUAAAGUUAAUACCUUUGCUCAUUGACGUUACCCGCAGAAGAAGCACCGGCUAACUCCGUGCCAGCCGCGGC